rnacentral:rRNA from 1 species
GACGAACGCUGGCGGCGUGCUUAACACAUGCAAGUCGAACGAUGAACCCGGAGCUUGCUCCGGUGGAUUAGUGGCGAACGGGUGAGUAACACGUGAGUAACCUGCCCUUGACUCUGGGAUAACUGCGGGAAACUGUAGCUAGUACCGGAUACGACCCUCGGCGGCAUCGCCAGGGGGUGGAAAGAAUUUCGGUCAAGGAUGGACUCGCGGCCUAUCAGCUAGUUGGUGAGGUAACGGCUCACCAAGGCGACGACGGGUAGCCGGCCUGAGAGGGUGACCGGCCACACUGGGACUGAGAUACGGCCCAGACUCCUCCGGGAGGCAGCAGUGGGGAAUAUUGCACAAUGGGCGCAAGCCUGAUGCAGCGACGCCGCGUGAGGGAUGACGGCCUUCGGGUUGUAAACCUCUUUCAGCACCGACGAAGCGCAAGUGACGGUAGGUGCAGAAGAAGGACCGGCCAACUACGUGCCAGCAGCCGCCGUAA